rnacentral:rRNA from 1 species
AAAAUAAAAUUUGAUUUUAAAAAAAUUUAAUUUUUAAACUAGGAUUAGAUACCCUAUUAUUUUAAGCUUAAUGUUGGUAGUAAGUAAAAAUUAUGAAAUCAUAAAAUUUUGGCGGUAUUUUAAGCUUUUUAGAGGAAUUUGCUCUAUAAUGGAUACAACGCCUAUAUCUUACUUAAUUUUGUAAUUAAAGUCAGUUUGUAUACCACUAUAUUUAAUUAUAUUGAAUAAUUAUAUUUAAGAUUUUUAUAUAAAUAUAUAUUAAGUCAAGGUGCAACAAAUAAUUA